rnacentral:rRNA from 1 species
GAUUAAGUUAUUAAGGGCGCACGGUGGAUGCCUUGGCACUAGAAGCCGACGAAGGACGUUACUAACGACGAUAUGCUUUGGGGAGCUGUAAGUAAGCUUUGAUCCAGAGAUUUCCGAAUGGGGAAACCCAGCACGAGUUAUGUCGUGUUAUCGAUAUGUGAAUACAUAGCAUAUCUGAAGGCAGACGCGGAGAACUGAAACAUCUUAGUACCCGCAGGAAGAGAAAGAAAAAUCGAUUCCCUGAGUAGCGGCGAGCGAAACGGGAAGAGCCCAAACCAACGAGCUUGCUUGUUGGGGUUGUAGGACACUCUAUACGGAGUUACAAAAGAACAGACUAGACGAAUCAUCUGGAAAGAUGAAUCAAAGAAGGUAAUAAUCCUGUAGUCGAAAGUUUGUUCACUCUUGAGUGGAUCCUGAGUACGACGGAACACGAGAAAUUCCGUCGGAAUCUGGGAGGACCAUCUCCCAAGGCUAAAUACUCUCUAGUGACCGAUAGUGAACCAGUACCGUGAGGGAAAGGUGAAAAGUACCCCGGAAGGGGAGUGAAAUAGAACUUGAAACCGUGUGCUUACAAGUAGUCAGAGCCCGUUAAUGGGUGAUGGCGUGCCUUUUGUAGAAUGAACCGGCGAGUUACGAUUUGAUGCAAGGUUAAGCAGUGAAUGUGGAGCCGUAGCGAAAGCGAGUCUGAAUAGGGCGUUGAGUAUUUGGUCGUAGACCCGAAACCAGGUGAUCUACCCAUGACCAGGUUGAAGUUCAGGUAACACUGAAUGGAGGACCGAACCGACUUACGUUGAAAAGUGAGCGGAUGAGUUGUGGGUAGCGGAGAAAUUCCAAUCGAACCUGGAGAUAGCUGGUUCUCUCCGAAAUAGCUUUAGGGCUAGCCUCAAGUGAUGAUUAUUGGAGGUAGAGCACUGUUUGGACGAGGGGCCCUUAUCGGGUUACCGAAUUCAGACAAACUCCGAAUGCCAAUCAAUUUAACUUGGGAGUCAGAACGCGGGUGAUAAGGUCCGUGUUCGAAAGGGAAACAGCCCAGACCACCAGCUAAGGUCCCAAAAUAUAUGUUAAGUGGAAAAGGAUGUGGCGUUGCCCAGACAACUAGGAUGUUGGCUUAGAAGCAGCCAUCAUUUAAAGAGUGCGUAAUAGCUCACUAGUCGAGUGACACUGCGCCGAAAAUGUACCGGGGCUAAACAUAUUACCGAAGCUGUGGAUUGUCCGUAAGGACAAUGGUAGGAGAGCGUUCUAAGGGCGUUGAAGCAUGAUCGCAAGGACAUGUGGAGCGCUUAGAAGUGAGAAUGCCGGUGUGAGUAGCGAAAGACGGGUGAGAAUCCCGUCCACCGAUUGACUAAGGUUUCCAGAGGAAGGCUCGUCCGCUCUGGGUUAGUCGGGUCCUAAGCUGAGGCCGAUAGGCGUAGGCGAUGGAUAACAGGUUGAUAUUCCUGUACCACCAUUAUUCGUUUUAAGCGAUGGGGGGACGCAGUAGGAUAGGCGAAGCGUACGAUUGGAUUGUACGUCCAAGCAGUGAGAUUGAGUGUUAGGCAAAUCCGGCACUCUUAAGAUUGAGCUGUGAUGGGGAGAGGAAAUUGUUUCCUCGAGUCGUUGAUUUCACACUGCCAAGAAAAGCCUCUAGCUAGAAUUGUGGUGCCCGUACCGCAAACCGACACAGGUAGUCAAGAUGAGAAUUCUAAGGUGAGCGAGCGAACUCUCGUUAAGGAACUCGGCAAAAUGACCCCGUAACUUCGGGAGAAGGGGUGCUCUUUAGGGUUAACGCCCAGGAGAGCCGCAGUGAAUAGGCCCAAGCGACUGUUUAUCAAAAACACAGGUCUCUGCUAAACCGUAAGGUGAUGUAUAGGGGCUGACGCCUGCCCGGUGCUGGAAGGUUAAGAGGAGUGGUUAGCUUCUGCGAAGCUACGAAUCGAAGCCCCAGUAAACGGCGGCCGUAACUAUAACGGUCCUAAGGUAGCGAAAUUCCUUGUCGGGUAAGUUCCGACCCGCACGAAAGGCGUAACGAUUUGGGCACUGUCUCAACGAGAGACUCGGUGAAAUCAUAGUACCUGUGAAGAUGCAGGUUACCCGCGACAGGACGGAAAGACCCCGUGGAGCUUUACUGUAGUCUGAUAUUGAAAUUCGGCACAGCUUGUACAGGAUAGGUAGGAGCCUGAGAUACGUGAGCGCUAGCUUACGUGGAGGCGUUGGUGGGAUACUACCCUCGCUGUGUUGGAUUUCUAACCCGCACCAUUUAUCAUGGUGGGAGACAGUGUCAGAUGGGCAGUUUGACUGGGGCGGUCGCCUCCUAAAGAGUAACGGAGGCGCUCAAAGGUUUCCUCAGAAUGGUUGGAAAUCAUUCAUAGAGUGUAAAGGCAUAAGGAAGCUUGACUGCGAGACUUACAAGUCGAGCAGGGUCGAAAGACGGACUUAGUGAUCCGGUGGUUCCGCAUGGAAGGGCCAUCGCUCAACGGAUAAAAGCUACCCCGGGGAUAACAGGCUUAUCUCCCCCAAGAGUUCACAUCGACGGGGAGGUUUGGCACCUCGAUGUCGGCUCAUCGCAUCCUGGGGCUGUAGUCGGUCCCAAGGGUUGGGCUGUUCGCCCAUUAAAGCGGUACGCGAGCUGGGUUCAGAACGUCGUGAGACAGUUCGGUCCCUAUCCGUCGUGGGCGUAGGAAAUUUGAGAGGAGCUGUCCUUAGUACGAGAGGACCGGGAUGGACAUACCUCUGGUGUACCAGUUGUCGUGCCAACGGCAUCGCUGGGUAGCUAUGUAUGGACGGGAUAAGUGCUGAAAGCAUCUAAGCAUGAAGCCCCCCUCAAGAUGAGAUUUCCCAACUUCGGUUAUAAGAUCCCUCAAAGAUGAUGAGGUUAAUAGGUUCGAGGUGGAAGCAUAGCGAUAUGUGCAGCUGACGAAUACUAAUCGAUCGAAGACUUAAUCAA